rnacentral:lncRNA from 1 species
UAAGAUUAAAAGCCUUGGCGCGGAAAUGUUUUGGUAUUGUACCCAAACAGAAUGGCAAUUUGCGCGAACGUAAUGGCAACGUGCGCGAAUGUAAAUGCACCGGGAACCUUGUGAUACAGUUUCAUACUAAGUCAUUCAUUGUGUGUUAAUUUGCGUUUUUUUUUUAUUGAGUUAAGCCUUCCAAUUGAUAUUUUAUAGGGUGUCUUUCUGUAUUGUGAUAUUAUACUAUUGUUUCAGAAAAGGGAGAAGGUUUGGUACCAUUAAAACGUUUAAUCCCGCUGCAAAUGUUUGCACCUGUCCUAAGUCAGGAAUCUGGUGUUCAGUGGUUGUCGUCUGUUUAUGUAGUUCAUAAGUGUUUCUCGUUUCUCGUUUUUAUA